AGCGAGCAAGGCGUUGAGUGUGCCCAGGAGAAGCAGAGGAGGAAGGUAAGAUUCGGGGGGUGGGUGGAAGACAUUUAUUUUUUUGCGGAGGGGAGGGAGUUCUGCUGGAAGACCCCACGGCCUGCUCUUCCCAACCCGGCCGGAAAAGCAGCGGGCAAGCUUUUGGGUGCAACAGAAUUCCUCGCCAGGCUGGAACGAGAAGGAGAAACCAUGUUCUUAGCUGUGGCGAGAAAGCUUGUGGUUCGCUCCCUGGAAAAUGGGGUGCUUGUUCUGCAGUCAGGAUUGAUUGAUUGAUUGAUUGAUUGAUUGAUUACCCAGCUUUCAUCCAAAGGUCCCAGGACGCAUCAAAACACAAUAUAAUUAAAAACGACUUUAAGUAACUGACCCACCACUGAAAUAAGGUGGGUCCUAAAAAAUAACCCUCGAGGGUCAAAAGAAGUCAAGCCAGAGAAUGAGAGUCUUCGGCAAGGCGCCGCUCCUUAGGCAGGGAGUUCCACAGGUCAGGGUCGCCACAGAGAAGUCUUUCAGGUGUUGGGGGGUCUUGAAUACUUCAGGGCUUGAAACCUCAGCGUGAGCACCUUGAACUGGGCCCGGAAAUGAAACGGGCAACCUGCGCAGCUGUUUUGAAACAGAGGUGAUGGUAGAAUUGCAGCACUGGAAAGGCACCCGAGGGUCAUCUAGUCCAACCCGCUGAGAUGCAGGAACUUGAACUAAAGCAUCCCUGACAGAUGGGCCCCCAAUGGUCAGGGAUGAUGGGAGUUGUAGUCUAGCAAGAGCGGGAGGAGGGGCACAAUUUCCCCACCCCUCCUGGGGCAGAAGAGAUUCGUUAAAUCCAGCUUUGUCUCUCCUCGCCAGAAGAGGCGGAUCGCUUCCCCCUUAGUCCCAGUGCAGGGAUUCCCCUUAUUCCGGCUGUUGGGUGUCAAACUUCCUGGGGCUUCCCACUGGAAUUAAGAGGUAAGCCCAGGAGCCUGAAGACCCCCCCCCCGCCUCCCCAGGAGGCCAGCCUGUUUCUGGGUCGCCCCCAGAGGCACCUCAAAGCCAUUUCCCUCGGGGUUUCUGCUUGGAAGGUCACAAUCCAGCCGAGCUGUCAUUUGGGGCACAUCUGGACAUUUGAGGUUCCAUCCAGUUUGGCGAACAGCAUCAGCCCAAAGGAAAGUGUUUGUGUGCGUGAGAGAGAGAGAGAUCGACAAGCAGACCACCCUAACUCGGAAUCGCUUGCAAACUGGUAUUCGACAUCCUCCUUCAUUUGAAAAUAAAAAUAGAUUAUCUCAUGUGAGUGGAUGGAAUGAACUGCAGUUGCAGCAUUUGAAAGAUGAUUGUAGCAAGGGGCAACCCCUGACAGGAGCAGAGGUGUUUAGAAAAUAAUCACAUGUCACACACCAAUUAAAUAUGAAGCUGCAAGGAAACUAACAGAAUAUGAAAAGAUGGCAAUAAGAGAUAGCAUGACGACGAAAGGGAUCAAUUCCCCUUUUAUACAAAUGUCCAGAACAAUUGUGUAAGGAAGUUUGUCAAAGAGGUGUCUCCAAAUAACCCCAGCUUAAGCCUUACUUAAUUGAUAUCCUUCAGAACUGUUCUGUUUGCGGACAUUCCCACCACAUAUGUUCGUAUGUACCUAUAAACUGACAUCCUCUCCCAACGUAACAGGACAUCAUCGGGCUUCAUAUCUGGUAGGCGCCUCAGUGUUAAAACAUCCACACGGACUACUCCCAAGGAGAAAAGAUUAGUCUCUGUGGAUGUUGAGUUGGCCGGUGUGAUGGCCUGGGAUUUGGACUCAGAGGCUGAACCUGAGGGAUCUCAGCCUGCACAGGAGUCCCCACCUCCAGAACCAGCUGAGCCGGGGCUGGGGCUUGAGCCUGAAGGGUCCUCACCUGUGCUGGAUCCUCAGGUGCAGGCAUCAGCUGAAUCCGCUCUGGCUCCUGAGGUGAUGGAGGACCAAUUGCCUGCAGGUGCUUCAUCCUCAGCCCCAUCAGGGGAAGCUGAGGUUGCCUCUGGGUCUGGUAACCCUCCAGCCUCUCCUGAGCUGCAGAGGCUCAGGGCAGAGAGGUGGAGGGAACUAAGUUCCCGCAGGAGGAGUGCUCGCCUCCAGGCCAGGAGAGGCGAGUCACCUGUGGACCGGGACCGCCUUAUGCCUCGGGGCAGAUAAAGCCGGCCAGCCCCAGCCCCAAGUUGCAGGAGCAACAUUGUUGGUUGCUAGUUCCUGCCUGAACCCUGUCCUGCCUUUCUGCCAGAGCUCCUGACCCCACCCGACUCCCCGCCUUGGACCCAGCUACAGCUUUGACGGACAGCCUCCAUACCGCACCAUCGACCUCGGACUGGACUCAGACCUCGCCUCUCAGUUAGCCCCCGGGACCAGCACAGCCUGUAGGAAACUGGGAGGUGGCAAUGCGAAGAACCCUGAGCGCCUCCCUCAGGCUCACGAUGGCCGCAACCAGCCCAGGCCCAGCCACUGGGAUGGCCGUGUACAUUGCAAUGCUUUUUAGGAUGUGUUAUGUAGACCGAGGCCAAAACUGUCUCUCCCAACCUGGCUCCUGCCCCUCUCCUCAUAGAAAUGGGUCCCCAUGAGUCAUCUAGAUCAACCCCCUGCAAGGCAGGAAUCUCCUUGUUCGGUCUGUUCCUUGUGACCGGUCCCAAUCCUCUUUUGUUCACACUGAACACCGGCUGGAGGCUCCUCCCUUCAGACGACGCUCUGGUCUCCGGCUCCUCUUAGAACUGCGGAGUCAGACGGGACCCCCAAAUCUAGCCCAACCCUCUGCGAUGCAACCAUCACAGCUCAAAAAAUAAACCCCCUGACUCACACAGCCAUCCCACCCGCAGGGAAGGUUUUACUGCAACACCCAUUUGGCGUCUUCCUUCAGGCUCCUGGGAGGCUUCCCACCCCAGCCUUCAGCGCUGCCUCUGAGCUCCUUCCCUCCCCUUUGGCCUUGCAGAGGGGGCGAAGGUGGGAGGCCUUGAGCAAAUGAUUGAGCAAAGAGGAUCCUGCGGACUUGACACAAUGGCUUCCUGGCCUCCUGGGCCAGAGAGCCUUUCGUAACGCACAAAGCUGGAGAAAAGCAACGCUGCCUUCCAUCGCAUAAUAGUCACAGCCCCCUCUUUUUUUUGGUCCUUAAAACUGGUCCCAAAGCAUUCGCUGUGUAAGAGUUGCAGGAUUUUCUCAGCACGCCUCCUCAGUGCCAGUCGAAUGUACAAGGGGAGCAGGCGGGCAAGCGACGUAAACACGUUUGUUACUAAAAAACUCUUUCCUUGCAUAAUAAGUUGCGCGCCCCUUUUUGGGAAAGAAAAAUCAGCAUGAAAUAUGUGAGCGUUAUGCGUUUAAAUAGGG